rnacentral:rRNA from 1 species
AGCCUGAUGCAGCCAUGCCGCGUGUGUGAAGAAGGCCUUAGGGUUGUAAAGCACUUUCAGUAAGGAGGAAAGGUUAGUAGUUAAUACCUGCUAGCUGUGACGUUACUUACAGAAGAAGCACCGGCUAACUCCGUGCCAGCAGCCGCGGUAAUACGGAGGGUGCGAGCGUUAAUCGGAAUUACUGGGCGUAAAGCGUACGCAGGCGGUUUGUUAAGCGAGAUGUGAAAGCCCCGGGCUCAACCUGGGAACUGCAUUUCGAACUGGCAAACUAGAGUGUGAUAGAGGGUGGUAGAAUUUCAGGUGUAGCGGUGAAAUGCGUAGAGAUCUGAAGGAAUACCGAUGGCGAAGGCAGCCACCUGGGUCAACACUGACGCUCAUGUACGAAAGCGUGGGGAGCAAACAGGAUUAGAUACCCUGGUAGUCCACGCCGUAAACGAUGUCUACUAGGAGCUGGGGUCUUCGGACAACUUUUCCAAAGCUAACGCAUUAAGUAGACCGCCUGG